rnacentral:lncRNA from 1 species
ACUAUCUGUGCUGUGAUACCAUGAUUAUAUUAUAUGUGGACUAACGUCACUUGUGCAAGAUAAUUGCUAAGUGAAUGCAGAUUAGUGAUAUGAUGAGUUUGUUGGAAAGUUGCAAUUCUUUAUGGUCUACUAGUUAGCCUAAAGAAUGAUGGCAAUAAAAAGAAGUCAAGGAUCUUUUGAAUAUGCGCAUUUUGGAAGAUUCUAGACCUGCCAA